UACAGAGGGGGCAAGCGUUGUUCGGAAUUACUGGGCGUAAAGGGCGCGUAGGCGGCCGGCUAAGUCGAACGUGAAAUCCCCGGGCUCAACCCGGGAAUGGCGUCCGAGACUGGUCGGCUUGAAUCCGGGAGAGGGAUGCGGAAUUCCAGGUGUAGCGGUGAAAUGCGUAGAUAUCUGGAGGAACACCGGUGGCGAAGGCGGCAUCCUGGACCGGCAUUGACGCUGAGGCGCGAAAGCCAGGGGAGCAAACGGGAUUAGAAACCCCAGUAGUCC
rnacentral:rRNA from 1 species